AUCCUGGCUCAGGACGAACGCUGGCGGCACGCCUAACACAUGCAAGUCGAACGGAGAUAUUUUGGUUUACUGAGAUAUCUUAGUGGCGGACGGGUGAGUAACACGUGAGCAACCUGCCUYUGAGAGAGGGAUAGCUUCUGGAAACGGAUGGUAAUACCUCAUAACAUAACGAAGCCGCAUGACUUUGUUAUCAAAGAUUUAUCACUCAGAGAUGGGCUCGCGUCUGAUUAGAUAGUUGGUGAGGUAACGGCUCACCAAGUCGACGAUCAGUAGCCGGACUGAGAGGUUGAACGGCCACAUUGGGACUGAGACACGGCCCAGACUCCUACGGGAGGCAGCAGUGGGGAAUAUUGCACAAUGGGGGAAACCCUGAUGCAGCGAUGCCGCGUGGAGGAAGAAGGUUUUCGGAUUGUAAACUCCUGUCUAAAGGACGAUAAUGACGGUACUAGAAGAG
rnacentral:rRNA from 1 species